GCUGUAUUGUUGAUAUGAAUUUUUUAGACUCAAAAAGAUUCGAGAUUGUAAACUUAAUUAGAAGUAUGGGAUGAAAAUUCAUCUACACAGCGGAAGCCCCAAUGUUUAUGAAGUUAGUUAAAGAGUUUUAUGAGCAUAUUUUAUUUAAAGAAGAAACAGUAUUAUCUUCGGUGAAAGAAAAAAAAUUUAUUUUGAUGAUAAAAUACUAGGAAAAGAAAGGAAAGAAACAGUAUCAUCUUCGAAUCCUCC
rnacentral:lncRNA from 1 species